AAAGCCCUACGAUGUGCGUGAAUUGCCGAUAAGUUUUGAGCCAACACCAUUACUUAGGGAGCCUAACUCUGAUUGUGGCUUGUAGACCUUAUUAUUGACAAGGGAACAUAAAGCAAACAGGAGGGCACCCCCCUGCUGAGGCAGGUUCAAAACUAGCGGCUUGUCACGGCAUGUGUGGGGUAUUU
rnacentral:other from 1 species